rnacentral:rRNA from 1 species
UGAGGAAUAUUGGUCAAUGGACGCAAGUCUGAACCAGCCAUGUAGCGUGCAGGAUGACGGCCCUAUGGGUUGUAAACUGCUUUUACAUGGGGAUAAAGUGGGGAACUUGUUCCCUUUUGCAGGUACCAUAUGAAUAAGGACCGGCUAAUUCCGUUCCAGCAGCCGCGGUAAUACGGAAGGUUCGGGCGUUAUCCGGAUUUAUUGGGUUUAAAGGGAGCGUAGGCCGUUUGGUAAGCGUGUUGUGAAAUGUAGGAGCUCAACUUCUAGAUUGCAGCGCGAACUGUCAGACUUGAGUGCGCACAACGUAGGCGGAAUUCAUGGUGUAGCGGUGAAAUGCUUAGAUAUCAUGAAGAACUCCGAUUGCGAAGGCAGCUUACGGGAGCGCAACUGACGCUGAAGCUCGAAGGUGAGGGUAUCGAACAGG